rnacentral:rRNA from 1 species
GAUGAACGCUAGCUACAGGCUUAACACAUGCAAGUCGAGGGGAAACGAUAUUGGAAGCUUGCUUCCGAUAGGCGUCGACCGGCGCACGGGUGAGUAACGCGUAACAAACCUGCCCACCACUUGGGGAUAACCUUGCGAAAGUAAGACUAAUACCAAAUGAUAUCUCUCGAAGACAUCUGAUGGUGAUUAAAGAUUUAACGGUGAUGGAUGGGGAUGCGUCGGAUUAGCUUGUUGGCGGGGUAACGGCCACCCAAGGCGACGAUCAGUAGGGGUUCUGAGAGGAAGGUCCCCCACAUUGGAACUGAGAUACGGUCCAAACUCCUACGGGAGGCAGCAGUGAGGAAUAUUGGUCAAUGGGCGAGAGCCUGAACCAGCCAAGUAGCGUGCAGGAUGACGGCCCUAUGGGUUGUAAACUGCUUUUAUAAGGGAAUAAAGUGAGCCUCGUGAGGCUUUUUGCAUGUACCUUAUGAAUAAGGACCGGCUAAUUCCGUGCCAGCCGCCGCGGUAA